GACGAACGCUGGCGGCGUGCCUAACACAUGCAAGUCGAGCGGAACUGUUUUGAAAGAUUUCUUCGGAAUGAAUUUGAUUUAGUUUAGUGGCGGACGGGUGAGUAACGCGUGAGUAACCCGCCUUCAAGAGGGGGAUAACAUUCUGAAAAGAAUGCUAAUACCGCAUGACAUAUCGGAAUCACAUGGUUCUGAUAUCAAAGAUUUUAUCGCUUGAAGAUGGACUCGCGUCCGAUUAGUUAGUUGGUGAGGUAACGGCUCACCAAGACCGCGAUCGGUAGCCGGACUGAGAGGUUGAACGGCCACAUUGGGACUGAGACACGGCCCAGACUCCUACGGGAGGCAGCAGUGGGGGAUAUUGCGCAAUGGGGGCAACCCUGACGCAGCAACGCCGCGUGAAGGAUGAAGGUUUUCGGAUUGUAAACUUCUUUUAUUAAGGACGAAAAAUGACGGUACUUAAUGAAUAAGCUC
rnacentral:rRNA from 1 species